rnacentral:lncRNA from 1 species
GGGUGAAGGUAUGGAUGGUUGUUAGAGAAUAACUUACACUGAGCAUGAGCAACAUGAGAACCACAUAGAUAUCUACUCACUCGUCAGUGAUCUUCUCGAUGCUACAGUGGUGUGAGUGGUCUUUUAACCUACAGUGCCAUUGGCUAUUCACAGUGAGGCUACUGGAUUUGAUUGUACAUUUUCUUGAUCCCUAGCCAUUCGGAUCCUUGCUGUGUA